GUUCCUUAAAGAACAUCUGAUCAAAUUGGAACGCUACAUAGAAGAUUAACAUAACCCUGCUCAAGGAUGACGCGCAUAAAUCGAGAAAUGAAUCCAAAAAAA
rfam:Prunus persica cultivar Lovell chromosome G8, whole genome shotgun sequence.